CGUUGGGACUCUUGAAGUCUUAGUGGCGCAGCUAACGCACUAAGUAGACCGCCUGGGGAGUACGGCCGCAAGGUUAAAACUCAAAUGAAUUGACGGGGGCCCGCACAAGCGGUGGAGCAUGUGGUUUAAUUCGACGCAACGCGAAGAACCUUACCUGGCCUUGACAUGCAGAGAACUUUCCAGAGAUGGAUUGGUGCCUUCGGGAACUCUGACACAGGUGCUGCAUGGCCGUCGUCAGCUCGUGUCGUGAGAUGUUGGGUUAAGUCCCGUAACGAGCGCAACCCCUAUCCCUAGUUGCUAGCAGUUCGGCUGAGAACUCUAGGGAGACUGCCGGUGACAAACCGGAGGAAGGUGGGGAUGACGUCAGGUCAUCNUGGCCCUUACGGCCAGGGCUACACACGUGCUACAAUGGUGCGUACAGAGGGCUGCAAACCCGCGAGGGGGAGCUAAUCUCACAAAACGCAUCGUAGUCCGGAUCGGAGUCUGCAACUCGACUCCGUGAAGUCGGAAUCGCUAGUAAUCGCGAAUCAGAAUGUCGCGGUGAAUACGUUCCCGGGCCUUGUACACACCGCCCGUCACACCAUGGGAGUGGAUUGCACCAGAAGUGGUUAGUCUAACUUCGGGAGGA
rnacentral:rRNA from 1 species